AUGAACGCUGGCGGCGUGCCUAAUACAUGCAAGUCGAGCGCACAGACGAGGAGCUUGCUCCUCUGACGUUAGCGGCGGACGGGUGAGUAACACGUGGAUAACCUACCUAUAAGACUGGGAUAACUUCGGGAAACCGGAGCUAAUACCGGAUAAUAUAUUGAACCGCAUGGUUCAAUAGUGAAAGACGGUUUUGCUGUCACUUAUAGAUGGAUCCGCGCCGCAUUAGCUAGUUGGUAAGGUAACGGCUUACCAAGGCAACGAUGCGUAGCCGACCUGAGAGGGUGAUCGGCCACACUGGAACUGAGACACGGUCCAGACUCCUACGGGAGGCAGCAGUAGGGAAUCUUCCGCAAUGGGCGAAAGCCUGACGGAGCAACGCCGCGUGAGUGAUGAAGGUCUUCGGAUCGUAAAACUCUGUUAUUAGGGAAGAACAAAUGUGUAAGUAACUAUGCACGUCUUGACGGUACCUAAUCUGAAAGCCACGGCUAACUACGUG
rnacentral:rRNA from 1 species